UACGUAGGGACCGAGCGUUAUCCGGAUUCAUUGGGCGUAAAGAGCUCGUAGGCGGCUAUUCAAGUCGAACGUGAAAUCUCGGAGCUCAACUCCGAGCCUGCGUUCGAUACUGGGUAGCUAGAGUCUGGUAGGGGGAUCUGGAAUUCCUGGUGUAGCGGUGGAAUGCGCAGAUAUCAGGAGGAACACCGGUGGCGAAGGCGGGUCUCUGGGCCGUAACUGACGCUGAGGAGCGAAAGCAUGGGGAGCGAACAGG
rnacentral:rRNA from 1 species